rnacentral:rRNA from 1 species
AGCCCACUAGCUAGCUCACCCACCUAAACCCAAAACCCCACUAUUUAUAACCCCUAACUAAACUACAAGCAUUUUAACCAAAUCAUUUUUCCCCCUUAGUAUGGGCGACAGAAAAGGACUUUAACGUAAGCAACAGCAACAGUACCGCAAGGGAACGCUGAAAGAGAAGUGAAACAAAUCAGUUAAGCACAAGAAAGCAGAGUUCAGUCCUCGUACCUUUUGCAUCAUGAUUUAGCAAGAAAACGCCAAGCGAAAAGCAUUUCAGUUUGGCUCCCCGAAACCAAGUGAGCUACUCCAAGACAGCCUUUAGGGCGCACCCGUCUCUGUGGCAAAAGAGUGGGACGAUCUUCGAGUAGAGGUGACAGACCUACCGAACUUGGUUAUAGCUGGUUGUCCAAGAAUUGAAUAGGAGUUCAGCCUUUUGUUAUCUUUUCCCAAACAAUGGGCACGCCCCAAGAGUUAGAGAUACACAAAGGAGUUAAUCAAAGGGGGUACAGCCCCUUUGAAAAAGAUACAACUUUACCAGAAGGGUUAAGAUCAUAUCAUUCACCUUAGGAGCGUGUUCUAGUUGGCCUAAGAGCAGCCACCCACACAGAAAGCGUUAAAGCUCAAACACCUCCCCUUCCCAUUAUUUAGACCACCCAAAUCUUACCCCCCUACACCUACUGGACCUUCCCAUACCCCUAUGGGAGAGACUAUGCUAAUAUGAGUAAUAAGAGACCCAGCGUCUCUCCCUGCACGAGUGUACAUCGGAACGAACUAACACCGAAAAUUAACGGCCCCAUUCCCAGAGGGAAAAGGAACAUCAUGGUCAAGCCACUAGAAACACACCCACACAACCCAACCGUUAACCUUACACCAGAGUGCACAUAAGGAAAGACUAAAAGAAAAAGAAGGAACUCGGCA